rnacentral:tRNA from 1 species
AUUUUCUUAGUAUAACUAGUAUCAGUGACCUCCAAUCACCCGGCCUUGGUUCAACUCCAAGAGAAAGUA